CGGUGUUCAACUGGCGUGUCCGCGGGACGUCCUGCCGGUGGGCUUAGCCCGCAAGGGCGGCCCAACUUCAAAUCCCAUCGCGGUGCUCUUCACUGAGUGUCGAGGUGGGCCGGGCACGUUUACUUUGAACAAAUUAGAGUGCUUAAAGCAGGCUAAAACUUCGCCUGAAUACUGUGUGCAUGGAAUAAUGGAAUAGGACCUCGGUUCUAUUUUGUUGGUUUUCGGAACCCCGAGGUAAUGAUUAAUAGGAACGGAUGGGGGCAUUCGUAUUGCGACGUUAGAGGUGAAAUUCUUGGAUCGUCGCAAGACGGACAGAAGCGAAAGCAUUUGCCAAAAACGCUUUCAUUGAUCAAGAACGAAAGUUAGAGGUUCGAAGGCGAUCAGAUACCGCCCUAGUUCUAACCAUAAACGAUGCCAGCUAGCGAUCCGUCGACGUUCCUCCGAUGACUCGACGGGCAGCUUCCGGGAAACCAAAGCUUUUGGGUUCCGGGGGAAGUAUGGUUGCAAAGCUGAAACUUAAAGGAAUUGACGGAAGGGCACCACCAGGAGUGGAGCCUGCGGCUUAAUUUGACUCAACACGGGAAACCUCACCAGGCCCGGACACCGGAAGGAUUGACAGAUUGAGAGCUCUUUCUUGAUUCGGUGGGUGGUGGUGCAUGGCCGUUCUUAGUUGGUGGAGCGAUUUGUCUGGUUAAUUCCGAUAACGAACGAGACUCUAGCCUGCUAACUAGGCGUAUUUUCGACAUCUCAAAGGUCCGUCGUCCCGGCCCUCGGGUCGUGGGCGUGCGCGAUUUUUACUGUCGGCGUACUAUCAAUUCUUCUUAGAGGGACAGGUGGCUUCUAGCCGCACGAGAUUGAGCCAAUAACAGGUCUGUGAUG
rnacentral:rRNA from 1 species